AAGAGCUUUAAGGUUAUGUUUUAUCAUUUAUCGAUUUGUUUGUGUAACAUAUUGAGAUUUGAAUCGCAACCCUUAAUUUGGUGGAUGAGGUAAUCGAAAUUCAAGUAUGAGAUAAAGCAUGACUCGAAUUUUCUUUAGGUCUUUCUGGUUGAAAAACAGAGUAGCCCCGAAUGUUGAGCAAAAUCGAGAAAAAGAGCAACCCCAAGUGAAUUUUUUUUUGAAAAUUAGAGCAGCACCAAAGGGUAAUCAAAUUUAAUCCAUACCCUAAUUAGUCUACAGGUAUUUUGAUGGUUUAGAGAUGGUAUUUUUCCAUCGGUUGAUGUGUACUAGGAGCUUGAUAAAAUGCUUGCAUCUUAUUGCUCUUUUAUUUUAUUUAGUUAUGCUCAUAUCCACAUACAACAAAAUCAUAUGACUUUAGGCCACAUUGAUUUUCACUGCUUUUUGUUAGUAGUUUAUGUUCAAACCUUCAAAAAGAUCACAAAGACUUAGGAAACCAGUGCGGUAUCACUAACGUUCUUGCAUAUAACUAACUCAAAUAUAAUUUACUGGAGAUUGAUUGUGAUUCCUCAUGUUAUGUAACGAAAACUCAUAAGUCAUUGUAUUUAAUUUCCAUUAUAUAAUGCAUUAAUUACAUUAAUGUGAAGGCUAUGGUUUUUUAUAAGUUUCCAAUGGCCGGCUAGUUCAUGUAUUCAAAUUUCAAUCAUUUCCUACUUAGCAUUGGUAUCCAAAAGGCUUUAGGAUUUUAGAAGCAUUGCAGAAAAUCAUGGCCUUUAGCCAUGCGGGUUAUUAGUUUUUAUGAACAAUAUAUUGUAUGAAUAAAUAAACAUUGGGUUUAUUUAUAGAAUUCAAAUAAGAAUUCUUCAGUAAUCCAAAUAGCUUAUAGAGUUGUAAAAGGUUGAUAUCUAUUAGAAACUCAUCAUUUUUUAGCACCCCAAGCAUCAGGAUAACAAUUUAUCUGCUUAUGGGACACGUCGUUUCUUCAUUCAAAUAAGAAUCAAGCCAAAUUUAUUUAAGUCACACUAGAAGAAGGCAUACAAAUUGAAAAUGUAAUUACUAUGAGCAAAAAUCGCUGGAAUUUAAGACUCAUAGGAAGUGAAAACCAACAUAUAAAAAUAAUUAAUGGAAACAAUGAUAGGGCCCUUCCUUAUUUACUAAUCGUAUUAGAUGAUUGAUGAUUUAGUAAUUAUUAUAACAAUCAUAACAAAUACUGAAAUUACAGACUCUUGCCCGACAUUCGAGGAUCAAAUAACCAUUAAUAUCUUGAUUACAAUUAGAACACACAUACUUGGGGGUUUUCUUUCUCCAAACAAACGUUAAUGGAUCUUUGUGACAUGAAUCAUUCAAGGUGCCCUCGCGUAAAAUGUUUGCAUAAUAAUCGAUUCGACUAAUGCAAUCAAGGUGAAAAGAAUUUUUGCAUUUGUUACAAUAAUAAAGGGGGAACUUGGGAUGCAUUUCUUUCUCACAAAUAUCACAAUAGAAAUCUUCCGGGUGAUCCAUGACCGGGGGAUACGUCAAUGGGAUUUCAUGUCCUUUGCAAUACCUAUGACCAAGGGAAUCCGACAUUCUCAUUGCACAAUACAUGUCCAAUGUGAAGCUACAAGCCUUACAAGCAUAACUUAUACCCUUAAACCACUUGUUGCAUGUGUUACAAAUAAGUUUAAGAUCGAUAACUUGGAUAAGAUGAUGUUUGUGGGAUUUAUGUUUGAUGGUGUUGGGUAGAAAUGCACAGUUGACAUCGAGGUUGAACUCACAAGUUUCACAUCUGUAUAAAAACGUAUUGCUAAAGCUACGACAACCAACGCAUUUAUAGUAGUUCCUAUGUUGCCUUGUGUUUAUCAAGUCAAGCAAAUGAUUGGGGUGAAGUGGAUGUUGUAAUUUGAGUGGUAACUCGGCGCAAUAUUUGUGGAGAGUGAUCGAACAUCCAUCUUUGCAACUAUAGUAUGGAAGGGUGAGGGGUCGUACACACCCGUGACAUACUUCUAUUGGAUCACUACAACUAGACAUGUUGUUAGGUUUAGGUUGAGGUUGAACAUGAAGGAUUAAUGGAUGUUCAUGACUCCAAUGGUUAAUAUUAGUUGUUUCAUCAUCAUAUUGAGUCAUCUUUUCAAAAUAUAGUAGUUUCAAUGGAUCUGUAAAUGGGCCUGACAUGGGAAAAUGCAGCAAACCACUUUCAUCUUCAUCAACAGUACUCACACCAUCUCUGAAACCAUAUAAUCUUGAUUAGAACAAGCAUUCACAAACACACACCAAAAAAGAAAGUAAAGAAGUUUUAUUUACCUUGGAGUUGAAGGACGUUCUGCAUGCAAGGCACACUUGAUAUGUGCAAAAAAUCUACAAUUCGCACAAUGAUACAACCACUCAUUCCGCUGGAUGUAUUUGUUGCAAAUUUCACAAUAAUAUGAGAAAUUAAAGAAUAUUUCUGGAAGCGAAUAAAUGAGAACAAGUUCGUGAUUAGGGUGAUGGGGUAGAUAGAUGGUAGGUGCUAAGGAAGCACAAGUCUUGUGUAUCCAAAAGUCACCACUAUCACACUCAUAGAAUAAGCCUUCAUCCUUAGUUUUGCAAGCAUCACAAAAUAUUGAAGCAGGUCUUAAUUUGAGGCUUAAAGUAUGUUGUGGGUGGCCUGCAUGUUUAACCUUUAUCUUUGCCUCCUCCUUGAUUGCAUCAGCUUCAGCCUUGAGAGCAAUUCUAGUAACACAACAAUCAAUGCAAGCUGUGAAGAUGCAUAUAUCAUCCAUUCCAAAAGUAUAUGAAAACACCCCAGAUUUUUUUUGAAUACGACACACCUCACAUUUCCAAUAUUUGGAAUCUAGAUCAUUCAAAUCCGUAAGUGUUAGAUGAUGAUGAUAUAAGGAAGGGUCGUUGAUAGUGAGCGGAAGUUGUGCACAUGCUUUAUGUAGAAAGUAACGACAUUGGAUGCAAGCAUAUGCAAAACCACUUGAUAUGGGUUUUUCACAUACAUAGCAACCAAUCAACCCUGAUUUCUCGUCAUCACCAUUGACACUAGCACCUAUAAUCGUCUCGGAGUUGAGGAGCUUUAAUGGAUGACUUUUAUGACUAAAAUGGUUAAUCUCUUCCAUAUCUUCUCUCUCUUUUUUGUGGAAAAUGAUAUAUAUAUAUAUAUAUAUAUANNNNNNNNNNNNNNNNNNNNNNNNNNNNNNNNNNNNNNNNNNNNNNNNNNNNNNNNNNNNNNNNNNNNNNNNCCUAACUUUUUUAGAUUGCUUUUUUUUCAAGUAUAGUUUCUAAUGCUAUUUACAACAUUCUUUUCUCUUAUAUCAAGUUAAAUUUUGCAUACAUCUUUUUUCCAAUUGAAAUUCUCUUUCUAUAUGUAUUAGUCAUGAUUUCAAAUAAUUGGAUUCCUUCCUUUUAUCUUAAUUUGUUCAUUACUUAUUAUUAGCUUUCUUGAAAAUUAAAAACAUGAAAUCAUUUAACAAAUAUUGCCAAUGGAUAUUAUUUGUAUGUAUUAGUCAUGAUUUCACAAUGACUUUAAUCGAUCAACAUAUAAUUAAUUUUAGAAAAAAGAAUAACUACAUAGAUAUAUAAUUUGAUUUUAGUGUUGAUUGUUUUUCAAAAGUUAUUCUCUUGUGAUUUCAAAUAUCUCAUCCAUAAUUUAUUAAUAUUCGUUUAUGGAGUACACUAUCAUAACAUUCUUUUAGAUAUAUUAAAAUUGUUUUCAAGAGUCUAUAUAAAUAGAGUACAUAAUAUAUUUUUGAAAAUUUUAACUAUAUUAUUUUAAUUAGCACACUUUAAGACUAUGUUUGACAGACUGACUGAAAAGUUAGCUAAUAGCUGCAAAUUAGCAACUAGUUGAUAAAAUAUAACGUUUGGUAAAAAAAUAACUGAUAAACUACUUACGAAAUAUAAAACAACAUAUCAGGACAUGUACGUAAAUGAUUCAAAUUUAAUAAGAAAAUAUGUAAUACAUAAAAUUAAAUUAUUGUAAAUACUAUAAACAUUUCUCUAAUUAUUUGUAUUUAAGUAAAAUUCAUGCAUUUCAUAUCAUAUUUGCAAUAUUAUUACAAAUUUCUCGUAUCUCAUGCCAUAACUGCCGAAUAUUGGCAUGAUAUGGUUAUCCAAUUCUGUUUCCUGUUCUUUGUUUUUUUAUAGUGUUAUAUGAUAUGAGUUGCAAUUAUAUGUUUAGUGGCAACACUAUAUUCAUGCAUAUAAAGAUAGGGAAAACUACAAUAAAGUCCCUACAUAUUGACCUCAAUCGAUUUAGUCCCUAUAUAUAUUUUUUAUUCAAUUAAGUCCCAAAUACCGGUAAUCGUAUUCAAUUUCACCCUUUAACCCGGUCAACGGGUCAUUCAACUUUCAAAAAUUAUAUUUUUUGCCUAGAUUUCAAAAUUUAUUUCAAAUUUGGUCAAAAAUUUACACUUUUAGCCCAAAUUUUAAAUUUUGUUACAAAUUUGGUCCAAACUUUACCCUUUUUGCCCAAAUUUUAGAAUUUUAUUAUGAAUUCAUCCUAACUUUAGUUUUCUUUACAACUUUUUUUCUCAAAUAAUUGUUUCUAAUAUGUUUUUUCUUUAUAAAAUCAUAUUUAUACAAAAAAAAAUGUAUUUUCACUUAAAAAUCUUAUAUUUUCUUUAUAAAACUUUUUUUUUAAAAAGUUUUUUGUAUAUGAAAUAUCUAGUUAUAAAAAUAAAUAUUUAUUAAGUAUAUAAAUAUAUACAAAUUGGUUUUUCUAAAAAAUGUAUACAAAAACGUAUUUUACAAAAAAUGUAUACAAACACCUAUUUUAUCUAUAUUUUUUUUAUAAAAUCGUGUUUGUUUAUAUAUUUUUUUUUAUAAAAACAUGUUUGAAUAAUUUUUUAUAUAAUACGCGUUUGUAUACAUUUUAUAAAAUCGUGUUUGUAUACAUUUUAUAAAAUGUAUACGAGCACGUAUUAUAUAAAAAAAUAUUCAAACACGUUUUUAUAAAAAAAAUAUAUAAACAAACACGAUUUUAUAAAAAAAAUAUAGAUAAAAUAGGUGUUUGUAUACUUUUUUUUGUAAAAUAUGUUUUUGUAUACAUUUUUUUUAUAAAAACGGAUUUGUAUAUAUUUAUCGACUUAAUAAAUAUGUAUUUUAUAACUAUAUAUUUCAUAUGCAAAAAACUUUUAAUAAAAGUUUUUAUAUACAAAAUAUAAGAUUUUUAAGUGAAAAUAUGUUUUUUUUUUGUAUAAAUAUGAUUUUAUAAAGAAAAAACAUAUUAGGAACAAUUCUUUGAGAAAAGAAGUUGUAAAGAAAACUAAAGUUAGGAUGAAUUCAUAAUAAAAUUAACAAAAUUUAAAAUCUGGGCCAAAAGUGUAAAUUUUGGACCAAAUUUGUAAUAAAUUUUGAAAUCUGGGCCAAAAAUGUAAUUUUUGAAAGUUGGAUGGCCUGUUUACCGGGUCAAAGGGUUAAAUUGAAUACGAUUACCGGUAUUUGGGACUUAAUUGAAUAAAAAAAAUUUAGGGACUAAAUCGAUUAUGAGGUCAAUAUGUAGGGACUUUAUUGUAGUUUUCCCUAUAAAGAUACUUAUAAAUAUAUAGUAUUGGAUUUUUGAGGUUGAAAUGAACAUUUUUUGACUUUAAAGUUGGCAUAAAGAUUAAUUUGUGGGUGAUAGUUUAUUUUCAUAUUAACCACUUGAAAUAAGUACUACAUAUUAAGAAGGUUGUAAAAAUCGUUUGACGGUAGCUCGACGGUCGACUGAUGUUAAGGGAUUAAUCGGUCUUCGCGGGUAUUAAUCGAGGAUUAAUCGGGGACCAUAAAUUAUUAAUAAAAUAUUAAAAUUAAUUAAAUAUGAAUAUAUCUUAAGAAAAACAAGUGCUUCAAAAUUAGAAAAUUAGAAAAAUUGUAAUUUGGAAAUUUGGAAAUACGAAAAUAUGAACAUUUUGGUAUAAAAUUUGAAAUUUUGAAAAUUUGAAAAUUUUGGAGUAAAAAAAGAAUGUUGGUUUUUUGAAUUUUUUAAAAUUUUUUUGACCUUUUUUUUGGCUUUUUUUUUGACUUUUUUGACUUUUUUUCGAUUUUUUGACUUUUGUUGACCGAUUAAUCCCGCCAAGGCCGAUUAAUCCCGUCAAACCCGAUUAAUCCUAUAUUCCCGAUUAAUGCCCUAAUUAUCGACGGUUGGAGAACACAAAGCGAUUAAUCCACGAUUAAUCGCCAAUUAAUCCCGAUUUCUGCAACCAUGCGUAUUAGUAAAUUAAUGCAUAAACCGAUAAGAAAUCCACUUUCUUGCAUAAAUUAGUAGAAGAGUGUAACUUGGUUGCUUUAUUAGUUGUUUUACCUACAAAUUAUGUGACUUGGAUUUUACUUAAUUCCAUGUUAUACUUGUAUUAUGAAGCAGAGGCAAUAAAAUGGUUGUUAAACAUUGGACAUAUGACUUCAACUAUGACCAACCUUCAACUUAAACAGUGUGACCUACCCCCUAAUCAUGCCCUUUCUUAUGCAAUUCAAAAGAGACAACUCUUUUAGACAUUUUGUCGAGCAUUAUGUGGGCGUCCAUUAAAAGAACUGAAUUUAUGAAUAAAUUACAGUUUGAUACUAUGUUGAUGAUCUUUUAGCUUGCUAGAAGCUGCACAAUGGUUUAUCUUUUAUAAGGGUACUUACCAUGAUGGGUUUAUUGCGAUUUUGGCUUAAAUGACACUUUGAUCAAAUUGUUUCAAGACCUUGCUAGGAUUUAUCUGCAAUACAAGUUUUUUUUAUUGGGUUAUAAAGUCUUGUUUUUUAUUAAUCUUGUUGUUAAUUAGGAAGCUGGUUAAUACAAAUUGGAACCAAGGAAUCAGAAGGGCAUACAACUACAGAUAGACAAUCGCAUUGUCCCACACCUCAAAAUCAUAUAAACGACUAUAAAAUUGCUUUACUCAGAUCAUAUAAAUUGGAGAAACAACAAGUUGAUUAAAAAAGAUUACUCACCUUGAGUUCGUUUGAAGCUUUGACUAACCACAUAAAAAGAAAAGUAGAAAAUCUUCGUCUUACGACACUGAAACAAUCAAAGACGUAACAAAUCAAUGUAAUCAACAAUUACGAUAACAGAUGACACAAAAGCACAAGGCCUGGUAUGAAAACGAUACUAACCUUGAAAUCGAUUGAAGAUUUCUUUGUAGAAACCGAAUUGAAAAAUUGGUACUAUGAAAUUGGUACCUGUGCUUUUAAAGAAAUCGAUGGUGGUGGGAAAAUGAUGUUAGUUUCUUGCGAUUCAGAGGGAACCGAUUUGGUGGAUAAACAGAUCUCCGGAUUAUGGUGCUGAUUUCAUAAUUAUAAACCAAACAUUUUGUAACAGAGGUCGAUUUCUUUUUUUGUCAGAGGAGGCGUACUUUCAGCUUUUGCCCACCAGGUGCUUGACGAAAUGCUUGCUUCUUAUAGUUCUUAAAUUUUUUUUUGUUAAGUUCAUAUCAGAUAGAACACAAUCAUAUGACUUUCUACCACAAUGAUUAUCUCUAUUUUUUUUUUCAAUAAUUUAUGUUCAAACCUUCAAAAAUAUCACAGAGACCUAGCAAACCUGUGUGGUAUCACUAACCUUCUUGCAUAUAACUAAUUCAAAUAUCAUUGUCUGGAGAUUGAAUGUUCUUUAUCAUGUUAUGUAACUGAAACCUAGUCACUCAUACUAUUCGAUUUUCAUUAUAUAAAUUCCUAUGCCUUAAUCACAUCAAUGUGAAGGCUAUGGUGUUUUAUAUGUUUUCAAUGGCCAACUCGCAUGUAUUGAAAUUUCAAUGAUUGCGUACUUUUUUUUAAUGGCAAAUAAUUAUUUUUUCUCCUUUCUCGGGGAUUGAACCUGGGACCUCUUAGUUAGUUGUUAGUUUAACACCUCCUUGCUAGCCAAGUGGGCUUUAGGAUUUCAGGUCAAGGUGAAAGCAUUGCAGAAAAUCAUGGCCUUUAGACACCCGGUUUAUUAGUUUUUAUGGGCAUAUUGUAUGAAUUAAUAAGCAUUAGGUUUAUUUACAAAAUUCAAAUAAGAAUUCUUCAGUAAUUUGAAUAGCUUAUCAAGUUGUUAAAGGUCGAUAUCUAUUAGAAACUCAUUAUAUUUAGAGCACCUUAAGUAUCAAGAUUAUUAGUUGAUAUUAGUAUAUGAAUAUCAACUAAUUAUACUAAUAUCAGCUAAUAAACUAAUAUCAACUAAUAAGGAUAGCAAUAUAUCAUGAGACAUGGUUUCUUCAUUCAAGUAAGAAUCAAGCCAAUAUUAUUUAAGUCCCACUUGAAGAAGGCUUACAAAUUGAAAAUGUAAUUACUAUUAUCAAAGAUCGCUUGAAUUUAAGACUCAAAAGAAAUGUAAACAAACAUACAGAAAGAAUGUAUGAAAACAAUGACAUGGCCCUUCCUUGGUUCAUAAUUGUAUUACAUGAUUGAUGAUUCAUUACUUCGUAUAAUGACACCGAAAACAAAUAUUGAAAUUACAAACUCUUGCCCAACAUUCUAGGAUCAAGAAACCAUUAAUAUCUUGAUUACAAAUAGAACACACGUACUUGGGCGUUUUCUUUCUCCGAACAUAUGUUAAUUGAUGUUUGUGAUAUGAAACAUCCAAGGUGCCCUCAUGGAAAAUGUUUAAAUUAUAAUCGUCUCGAGUAAUGCAACAGAGAUGAAAAGAAUUUUUGCAUUUGUGACAAUAAUAGAGUGGCAACUUAGGGUGCAUUUCUUCCUCACAAAUAUCACAAUAGAAAUCUUCAGGAUGAUCCAUGAGGGAGAAUAUGUCAAUGGAAUUUCAUGUCCUUUGCAAUACCUAUGACCAAGGAAAUGUGGCGACCUCAUUGCACAAAACAUGUCUAAUAAGAAGUCGCAAGCCUUACAAGCAUAACUUAUACCACUAAACCCCAUGUCACAAGCAUUACAAGGAGUCUCAGUAUCGAUAACUUGGAUAAGAGGAUGCUUGUGGGAUUUAUGUUUGAUGGUGUUGGGUUGGAAUGCGCAGUUGACAUCGAGGUUGAACGUGCAAGUUUUACAUUUGUAGGAAAAUGUGUUGACAUAGCCCCAACAACCUUUACAUCUAUCGACAUGUUCCCGUGUGUUUAUCAAGUGAAGAAUGAUUUGGGUGAAGUGAAUGUUGUAAUUUGAUGGGUAAUUUGGCACAAUAUUUGUGGAGAGUGAAUGAACAUCCAUCUUUGCAACUAUAGUACAGUAGGGUGAGGGGUCGUACACACCCCUGACAUACCUCUAUCAGAUCACUACUACAAGACAUGUUGUUUGCUUGGGCUUCAACUGUAAGGAUUAACGGAUGGUGAUGACUCCAAUGCUUAAUCUUAGUUUUUUCAUCAUCAACUCGACUCAUCUUUUCAAAAUGUAGUAGUUUCAAUGGAUCUGUAAAUGCGUCUCACAUGGGAAAAUGCAGCAAACCAUUUUCAUCCUCAUCAUCUUUGAAACCACAUACUCUUGUUUAGAACUAGCAUUCAACACAAACACAAAAAAUAAAUAAAUAAAUAAAUAAAAUGUAAAGAAGUUUUGCCUACCUUGGAGUAGAAGGAAGUUCUGCAUGUAAGGCACACUUUAUAUGAGCAAAAUAUCUACAAUUUGCACAUUGAUACAACCAUUCAUUCCGCAGGAUGUAUUCAUUGCAAAUUUCACAAUAAUAUGGGAAAUUAAAGAAUUUUUCAGAAAGUGAAUAGACGAGAACAAGUGGAUGAUUAGGGUGAUGAGGCAGAUUGAUAGUAGAGGCUAAGGAAGCACAAGUCUUGUGGAUCCAGAAGUCACAACUAUCACACUCAUAGAAUAAGCCUUCAUCCUUAGAAUUGCAAGCAUCACACCGCAAUGCAGCAGGUCUUAAUUGUAGGGUUAAAGUGUGGUGUGGAUGGCCUUCGUGUUGAACCUUGAUCUUUGGCUCCUCCUUGAUUGCAUCAACUUCAGCCUUGAGAGAAAUUCUAGCAACACAACAAUCAAUGCAAGCUACAAAGGUGUAUUUAUUAUCCUUAAUAAAGAUAUACGAAAACACUCCGGGUGUCUUUCGAAUACGACACACAUCACAUUGCCUUGAUCUAGAAUCUGUAUUUUUCAUAUCAGUAAGUGUUAGAGGGUGAUGAUGAUAAUAUAAGGAAGGGUCAUUGAUAGUAUGGGGAAGUUGUGCGCAUGCUUUAUGGAGAAAGUAGCAACAUUGGAUGCAAGCAUAUGCAAAACCACUUGAUAUGGGUUUUUCACAUGCAUAGCAGCCAAUCACUUGUGGUGUUAUAUCACCACCAUCAAAACUAACACCAACAAUUGUCUUGGAGUUGAUGAGCUUUAAUGGAUGGUUUUCAUGACUAAAGUGAUUAAUCUCUUCCAUGUCUUAUCUCUCUAUUAUGUGGAAAAUGACAUUUAUUUAACCUUCAAAUUUUGAGAAAAUAAGUAGAGGCAAAAUACCAUUUCCACAACUAGAGAAAUCAACUUAACGUUUUGAGAUUGCUUUGAUUCCAUGUAUAGUUCUUAAAAUGCUAUUUGCAACAUUCUUUUCUCAUAUAUCAAGUUAAAAUUAUCAAACAUCUAUUUUUUCAAUUGUAAUUUUCUUUCUAUAUCACACGAAAUGAAUUGGAUUCUUAUUUUUAUCUUAAUUCGUUGAUUACUCUUUGAGCUUAAUUGAAAAUUAAAAACAAGAAUUCGUUUAAUACGUAUUGCCAAUACUUUUAUUAUUUUUAUUAAUAAUGUUUUCACGAGGACUUGAAUUGAUCUGUAUACAAGAUUAGAAAGAAAAAAAAAUCACUUAGAUAAUUUGAUUUAUUGAUGUUUGUAUUUCAAAAAUUACUCAUUCAGAUCGACAUAUCUCAUCCAAAAUAUGUUCAUAUUCAUUUAUGCAGUUGAAGAGUCUAUAUAAUUAGAGUACAAAAUAUAUCUUUUUAAGAAUUUAACUACAUUACUUUAGUUAGCUUACUUUAAGUAGAAUGAACUAACAAUCUACUAUAGUGUAAUUUCAAAAUAUAUUACCAUCUUAUACCAUUUGGAUUGUUAUAAAUCUCAAUCCUUUUACAAAGAAAGUUGGAGAUCACCUUGUAGAAACACUAGAUAUGAUUUCUCAUAUCCUAAGAAAGGUUUUCUAGUAGCUAGCCUUUUAAACAAUGAACAAUGAUAUAUGCUGGUGUAAAUAUGGUAUUUGCAAAUUUUAUUAGAGAUUAUAUUUGACAAAUUUGGUUAAAUUAAUGAUUCAAAGUGAUGAAUUAAAAGCUCUACUGAUUUGCAACAAGAUCGUAGUUUUUGUUUUCAUCAUCGAGAGAUGUAGCAAAAAAAGGCUUCCGGUAACCUCCACAAAAGCGGAUGAAAUUCCCCAAAACAAUUCAAAGGGCAAAAUGGUCAAAAUCUGAAUUAAAAGGGAGAAAACCAUCUCACAACAUGAAAUGUUAAAUUUCAGCAAAGCAACACAAGGGGCAAGAUAGUCAAAAGUUGACUCGAAAGGAGGAGGCCACCUCACACGUCAGCUAUGAAACUUUGAAGGGGAAUAAACAACAAGACUUUGCUCAACAAAAGAGCUUUAAUUAAGGUAGUUGGAAUAUUUGAGUAAUGACGUAAUUCUGUGACAUAUUGAGUUUGAGUCGAAUCCCAUAAUUUAGAAGAUCAGGUAGUGGGAAUUAAAGAGGAAUCCAAGUAUGCGAUAAAAUAUAACUCCAAUUCUUCUUCAUGUCUUUCUGAUUGAAAAAACAGAGCAACCCCAAAUGUUAAGCAAAAUCGAGAAACAGAGCAACCCCAAGUGACAGCAAAAAUCGAAAAUUGGAGCAGCACCAAAGGGUAAUUAAAAUUAAAGCUUACCCCAAUUACUCUAAAAACGUUCUAAAUAUCUUUCAGCAACAUAUUUAGAAAGAAACCACUAUGCUGUAAAUAAACUUUCUUUUUGUG
rnacentral:lncRNA from 1 species